ACCCCGAUAGCUCAGCUUGUAGAGCAUGAGACUCUUAAUCUCAGGUCGUGGGUUUGAGCCCCACAGGGGGGG